GUACUACUCCCUCCUUUCGGAAUUACUUGUCAUAGAACUGGAUGUAUCUAGAUUUAUUUUAGUUCUAGAUACAUCCAUAUCCGAAACAAGUAAUUCUGAACGGAGGGAGUACUAC
rfam:Triticum urartu cultivar G1812 contig1155579, whole genome shotgun sequence.